rnacentral:rRNA from 1 species
UGGGGAAUAUUGCACAAUGGAGGGAACUCUGAUGCAGCGACGCCGCGUGAGUGAUGAAGGAAUUCGUUUCGUAAAACUCUGUUCUCUGGGAAGAAAAGGACUGUACCAUAGGAGAAAGCUCCGGCUAAAUACGUGCCAGCAGCCGCGGUAAUACGUAUGGAGCGAGCGUUGUCCGGAAUUAUUGGGCGUACAGGGUGCGCAGGCGGCUUUACAAGUUGGAUGUGAAAUAUUGUGGCUCAACCACAAACGUGCAUCCAAAACUGCAAAGCUUGGGUUAAGGAGAGGUAAGUGGAAUUCCUGGUGUAGCGGUGGAAUGCGUAGAUAUCAGGAGGAAUACCGGUGGCGAAGGCGACUUACUGGACUUAAACUGACGCUCAGGCACGAAAGCGUGGGGAGCAAACAGG